GCCAGCGUGGUGGAGUGGUUUGCAAGUUGAACUAGGACCCUGAAGACCUGGGUUCAAAUCCCUGCUCAGCCA